rnacentral:lncRNA from 1 species
UUGAGUGAAACCUCUGUAAAUCUGCCAUUGGGUCCUGUUUCUUCCUUGAUCACAGCACAUCCCAAGUCAUCUCUGUGACAGAGCUUCCUUACUGGGGAAAUCUCAAGAUGCAAAUUCAUGUAGGUGGCUUUUGGAGCUCCAUCAAAAAGUGACCCAUCUUGAUGAUGCUCAACAUGCAAGCUGCCACUGAAUCACAGCCACAGCACUACAGUACUGUUUGAUGCUGGGUCUUGGGGCAAUGAAUGUGGAAUA